rnacentral:rRNA from 1 species
AGAGUUUGAUCCUGGCUCAGAAUCAACGCUGGCGGCGCGCUUAACACAUGCAAGUCGAACGAGAAAGCUGGAGCAAUCCAGUGAGUAAAGUGGCGUACGGGUGAGUAACACGUGGAUCAUCUACCUCUUUGUGGGGGAUAACUCUGGGAAACCGGAGCUAAUACCGCAUAAGCUCGAGAGAGGAAAGCAGCAAUGCGCAGAGAGAGGAGUCCGCGGCCGAUUAGCUAGUUGGCGGGGUAAUGGCCCACCAAGGCGAUGAUCGGUAGCCGGCCUGAGAGGGCACACGGCCACACUGGCACUGAAACACGGGCCAGACUCCUACGGGAGGCAGCAGUGGGGAAUCUUGCACAAUGGGGGCAACCCUGAUGCAGCGACGCCGCGUGAGCGAUGAAGCCCUUCGGGGUGUAAAGCUCUUUCGGCAGGGACGAUAAUGACGGUACCUGAAGAAGAAGCUGCGGCUAACUACGUGCCAGCAGCCGCGGUAAUACGUAGGCAGCAAGCGUUGUUCGGAAUUACUGGGCGUAAAGAGUGUGUAGGCGGUUUUCUAAGUUUGGUGUGAAAUCUCCCGGCUUAACUGGGAGGGUGCGCCGAAAACUGGAAGGCUUGAGUGUCGGAGAGGAUAGCGGAAUUCCCGGUGUAGCGGUGAAAUGCGUAGAUAUCGGGAGGAACACCUGCGGUGUAGACGGCUAUCUGGACGACCACUGACGCUGAGACACGAAAGCGUGGGUAGCAAACAGGAUUAGAUACCCUAGUAGUCC